GCUAGUUUACCUAGGUCAUCUGGUCAGUGAGUUAGUGGGUUAGCUAAGCUAGUUAGGUUACCUAGUCAGUGAGUUAGCUAGUUUACCUAGGUCAUCUGGUCAGUGAGUUAGUGGGUUAGCUAAGCUAGUUAGGUUACCUAGUCAGUGAGUUAGCUAGUUAACCUAGGUUAUCUGGUCAGUGAGUUAGCUAGCUACUUAACCUAGGUCAUCUGGUCAGUGAGUUAGUGGGUUAGCUAAGCUAGUUAGGUUACCUAGUCAGUGAGUUAGCUAGUUAACCUAGGUUAUCUGGUCAGCGAGUUAGCUAGCUACUUAACCUA